rnacentral:rRNA from 1 species
GACGAACGCUGGCGGCGUGCUUAACACAUGCAAGUCGAACGGAAAGGCCCUGCUUUUGUGGGUUGCUCGAGUGGCGAACGGGUGAGUAACACGUGAGUAACCUGCCCUUGUCUUUGGGAUAACUUCAGGAAACUGGGGCUAUUACCGGAUAUGAGCUCCUGCUGCAUGGUGUUGGUUGGAAAGUUUCGGCGGUUCUGUCUCGACUCGCGGCUUAUCAGCUUGUUGGUGGGGUAGUGGCUUACCAAGGCUUUGACGGGUAGCCGGCCUGAGAGGGUUACCGGCCACAUGGGGACUAAGAGACGGAGCAGACUCCUACGGGAGGCAGCAGUGGGGAGUAUUGCACAAUGGGCGGAAGCGUGAGGCAGAGACGCCGCGAGCGGGAUAACGGCCUUCGGGUUGUGAACCGCUUUGGAAUGUGACGAAGAGUGAGUGACGGUAAUGGGUAAAGAAGCAACGGCUAACUACGUG